GAUGAACGCUAGCGAUAGGCUUAACACAUGCAAGUCGAGGGGUAACGUGUUGGAAGCUUGCUUCCGAUGACGACGACCGGCGGAUGGGUGCGUAACGCGUAUGCAACUUGCCUCACAGUGGAGAAUAACCCGGAGAAAUCCGGACUAAUACUCCAUACACUCUUAAGUACGCCUGUACAUGAGAGGAAAGAUUUAUCGCUGUGAGAUAGGCAUGCGUCCUAUUAGGUAGUUGGUGAGGUAACGGCUCACCAAGCCGACGAUAGGUAGGGGUGCUGAGAGGCAGAUCCCCCACAUUGGGACUGAGACACGGCCCAAACUCCUACGGGAGGCAGCAGUGAGGAAUAUUGGUCAAUGAAGGAAACGCUGAACCAGCCAAGUCGCGUGAAGGAAGAAUGUCCUAAGGAUUGUAAACUUCUUUAGCGAGCGAGUAAGGACUUCCACGUGAUGGGAGUUUGAAAGUAGCUCGAGAAUAAGUAUCGGCUAACUCCGUG
rnacentral:rRNA from 1 species